rnacentral:rRNA from 1 species
AUACGGAGGGAGCGAGCGUUAAUCGGAAUUACUGGGCGUAAAGCGCGCGUAGGCGGCAUUGUAAGUCGGAUGUGAAAGCCCUGGGCUCAACCUGGGAAUGGCAUUCGAUACUGCAGAGCUAGAGUAUGGUAGAGGGAAGUGGAAUUUCCGGUGUAGCGGUGAAAUGCGUAGAUAUCGGAAGGAACACCAGUGGCGAAGGCGACUUCCUGGGCCAAUACUGACGCUGAGGUGCGAAAGCGUGGGGAGCAAACAGGAUUAGAAACCCGAGUAGUCC